AACCAAGAAGGCUAAGUUAUACUUUACGGUAAAAAGACAGUUAAGUUGGAUUUCAAGUUUUAUUAAUACAUAUAUAAAGGUAGAAUUUGGAUAUAUGUAUAUGAUUUAAGGAAAACUUUGGUACUGAAGCUGUGACAGCUUAGAGGGAAACUGGGAUUAGAUACCCCAUUAUUCUAGGUUAUAAAAAAAUUUAAAUUUACCAGAGCACUACGAACUAAAAAGUUUAAAACUCAAAGGGCUUGGCGGUGUUUUAGACCUCUUAGGGGAACCUGUCUCAUAAUCGACAAUCCGCGCUAAACCUAACUUCUUUUUGUACUCAGUAUGUAUACCAUCGUCGUCAGGUAACUUUUAAAAAGCUAGAAGUUAGCUAAUAAAUUAUGUAAGUUUAAACGUCAGAUCAAGGUGCAGUCAAUAAAGAAGUGAAGAUGGGUUACAAUUAUUAAAUUAUAAAUACGAAAUAAUUAAAUGAAUAAAUAAUUAUGAAGGAGGACUUAAAAGUAAACUGAAUUAUAUAAACAUAUUGAAUUAGGCUCUGAAACGUGC
rnacentral:rRNA from 1 species